rnacentral:rRNA from 1 species
CCUACGGGAGGCAGCAGUGGGGAAUAUUGCACAAUGGGGGCAACCCUGAUUCAGCGACGCCGCGUGAGUGAAGAAGUAUUUCGGUAUGUAACGCUCUAUCAGCAGGGAAGAAAAUGACGGUACCUGAUUAAGAAGCCCCGGCUAACUACGUGCCAGCAGCCGCGGGAAUACGUCGGGGGCACGCGUUAUCCGGAUUUACUGGGUGUAAAGGGAGCGUAGACGGCAGCAAAAGGAUGGAGGGAAAUGCCGGGGCUUAACCCCGGAACUGCUUUGGAAACUUUGCAGCUAGAGUGCAGGAGAGGUAAGUGGAAUUCCUAGUGUAGCGGUGAAAUGCGUAGAUAUUAGGAGGAACACCAGUGGCGAAGGCGGCUUACUGGACUGUAACUGACGUUGAGGCUCGAAAGCGUGGGGAGCAAACAGGAGUAGAUACCCUAGUAGUC